rnacentral:Y_RNA from 1 species
GGCUGGCCUGAGUACAGUGGUGUUUACAACUAAUUGGUCACAACCAGUUACAGAUUCCUUUGUUCUUUCUCCACUUCCACUGCUUCACUUGACUAGUAAAA